rnacentral:piRNA from 1 species
AACUGUGAUCUGCAUUUUAAAAU